GGGCGUUUGGCCGAGGGGUCUAAGGCGCUGUGUUUAGGUCAUUUCAUCAAUAGAUUUACUUAAUACCGCAGUGGGAAACCGCGCAGGUUCGAAUCCUGCAGCGCUCA